rnacentral:rRNA from 1 species
UACGAAGGGGGCUAGCGUUGCUCGGAAUCACUGGGCGUAAAGGGUGCGUAGGCGGGUCUUUAAGUCAGGGGUGAAAUCCUGGAGCUCAACUCCAGAACUGCCUUUGAUACUGAGGAUCUUGAGACCGGGAGAGGUGAGUGGAAUUCCCAGUGUAGCGGUGAAAUGCGUAGAUAUUGGGAGGAACACCAGUGGCGAAGGCGGCUCACUGGACCGGAACUGACGCUGAGGCGCGAAAGCGUGGGGAGCAAACAGG